AGUGAACGCUGGCGGUAGGCCUAACACAUGCAAGUCGAACGGCAGCACAGUAAGAGCUUGCUCUUACGGGUGGCGAGUGGCGGACGGGUGAGGAAUACAUCGGAAUCUACUUUUUCGUGGGGGAUAACGUAGGGAAAAUUACGCUAAUACCGCAUAAGAACUACGGGUGAAAGCAGGGGAUCUUCGGACUUUGCGCGAUUGAAUGAGCCGAUGUCGGAUUAGCUAGUUGGCGGGGUAAAGGCCCACCAAGGCGACGAUCCGUAGCUGGUCUGAGAGGAGGAUCAGCCACACUGGAACUGAGACACGGUCCAGACUCCUACGGGAGGCAGCAGUGGGGAAUAUUGGACAAUGGGCGCAAGCCUGAUCCAGCCAUACCGCGUGGGUGAAGAAGGCCUUCGGGUUGUAAAGCCCUUUUGUUGGGAAAGAAAAGCAGCAGGUUAAGACCCCGCUGUUCGGACGGUACCCAAAGAAUAAGCACCGGCUAACUUCGU
rnacentral:rRNA from 1 species